ACAAGUUACAGUUUUGAAUGAGCUGUGUUAUUAAUCCGACGUAAAAUAUGGAUAAUAAAAGCCAGUAUUGUUUCAUAGCGGUAAUGUUGUUUCUAAAACAGCCGUUUGUUUUUGGGGAGGACUGCAAGUGUGAGGGAUUAGUCAAUGUUUUUAAGAGUACAAUGUCGAGGGAAUUAUUUGAUUUGAAGAUGGAGAACACUAUGCUUCAAGCGAGGAUGGAUAAAAUGGAGUCGAUGCUUCAAGAAAAGUCUUCGUCAACAUCGGCUCGGGGUUUGGACACAGCACGGUUUGAAGGGUUUGAAAACAGACUGUCUUCGAUUGAAUCAAACAGACAACAUACCAUUAAGGUCCCUACUAAUACAUUAAAACUGCACAGCUUUAUUGCUAAAGCUCUUCGAUCAGAGAAAGAAAAAAGGAUUCAAGCAGAAUCAAAUACGAGGAAGCACAUGGAAUUCUUCAAUCAAAGUAUUAGUGACUUGAAGAUUAAAGUUGAUUUCGUGCUGAACUCCAACCUAACGUACAUUGUUAAUGGCAUAGAAAAGGUGGAACAAAAGAUGUACGAUGGUCUUGAUCAAGUUAAAAACGACAUCAGAUAUCUUCAAUCAAAUAUUUCAGAACUGCAAAGUCAAAGUAAUGCAUUAAGUGACAAAGAUAUAUCAGAACUAGGGCUCGACCUUGUUGCAAUGAACAAAAGCGUUGCAACGGACAUAGCGGAAAUUGAACAGCGGAUGUCUGAUGGCUUCUUAAAUGUUAAAAACAAGAUCAAGACAAUGCAAACAAAGGUGAAGAAACAGUACCAAGUAAAUGUAUUAAUUGGUAAGAAUGUUACAGCGUUUGAGACAGGCCUUUCUACGAUUGAUCAGGAUGUCAUGACGAUGAAAGCUGAUAUAAAGAGAUUGGAGAAACUAUCACUUAUUUCCUUAAAAGCAAACAAAUGUCCAGAGUUGCCAAGUAUUAGGAAUGGAGAAAUAUUCCAGAAUACAAAUGAAGGAGUUCGAAAUAUUUAUGGAAGUGUGGCCGAAUACACAUGUAAUAUUGGUUACUCUUUGAAUGGCAACAGGAGCAUCAAAGUAUAUAACAGACAGUGUCAAGCAGAUAGAACAUGGAGUGGCAAACAACCAACGUGUGACGAUCCUACAACAAUUAGUGAAGCAGACAAACGUCGUAGUAAAGAUGUCCUUCCUGACAAGAACCAGAUCCAAAAUACACGGAAUGAAGGUUGUACACUUCCUGGUGAUCCACGAUAUACUUACAUGGACUUUUAUGGCUUUUACAAAGAUCCAGGUUCAUUAAUUUCUGAUGGAACUAUAUUGACAGUGGCAUGUACAACACUGGAUCUAUAUGAGUUUUACGCGAGUUAUGAUUCCGAUUAUGAUAACAAUUCAACAUCAACAAUAACCUGCAUGAACAAUACUUUAUCUCAACUUGAACUAGAUUGUCCUGAAGUGAUACCAAACACAUGCAUGGAAUUGCAGCAUGGCAGUGUCAACGUACAGAAUGGAUACUUCAUUGUUUCGUGUGAUAAAGGGUAUUCGUUAGAUUUGAUAGUACCAGAAAGACCUCAGUGUACAUGUGAAAAUAACCAGCUUAAAAGUGUAUUUGGAGGCCAAACACCGGCUUGUAUACCAGAGAAAUGUGUGGUGCCCUAUGUAUUUGACGUACGUUUAUCUGUGACAGACACAAGGCGUGUCAGUCUUUCUGGAGGUUCCGUUGUUGAGGUUGGAGACUUUGUUUAUUUUAAUUGUUCAAAACCCGGUAUAUUGAAAUAUGAACCUUUGAACAGACGAUUCCAAUGUGUGAACGGCCUCUGGAAAGAAGCUGAAACAGAUCGCAACUGGAAGUUAGGAUAUGAUGGUGAAUUUCCGGCUUGCAGAAGAGAGUGGUACUCCGAUCAUUUUGUUGUAGUUGAGAUAAGCAGAGUUGUUGUGCAUGAUAGAUCCCUUUUCAAAGAAUGUGUCUGUGUUCUAGCCGUAUGCGAACCAAACUGUACAAAUGGCGGUGUUUGUUUCAAGGACGACAACUGUCGAUGUAAACAUCUAACAGAGGGAAAACGAUGUGAAAGUGUGAGUAUCAAAGAUGUUUCUCCUAUUAGCUUUAAAAGACCUUUGGUAAAAUUGUACUUAACCACAUUAUAAAAUAGGUUCGUUGAAAGAUAUAUUUUACUACAAAAUAUCUUGUAGUAAAUAUCAUUAAUCUUAAAUCAUCUUUUUGAAUUCUUUCAACAACUUACAUGAUUUCAGGUCAAGUCAAGUGCAUCCGAACUUCAGUUUUAGGGGGAACAGUUAUGGAAAAAUUACUUUCCUUACAGGUGUUAUUAUUAUACCAGAUUUAUAUAGCGCCCUUUUCAUGAUCAAUUUCACGUUCAAAGGCGCUUUACAUAGUUCAAAUGCAGCCACACAGGGCGCAUAAUUCAUCCUUUACUAGUACAGACACAGAGCGAUCUGACUAGAGGGACAGAGUGAGACAAAGCCCCCACGACAGAGAGAUCAGAAAUCAGAUACAGGCUUGUCCGGCUAACUUAGCCUAGCUCGUUGCGAAUAGACAGCCUGGUUCUUUAACGUGCCCAGUGUAUAGCACUGAUACACGCAAGGAUUGCCUGGGUUCCUGACCAGUACACCUCUAGUUAGGUGGGAAACACUGAAAAGCGUUUCUGAAAAUUCCCGAGUAGCUGCCGGGGAUCGAACCCCCGACCUCAGGAUUGGAAGGCCAGUGUGCAAACCACUGUGUUUAAUCAGCUUUUGGUCUAGUAAUUGAUAUGUUUGAAACAUUAACAAUUAAUCAUUUACACUUAAUUAUGUUCCCUAAGUGCUACGUUUAUGUUACAUUUUCACUGGAGCUAAUUUGAAUUGCGAGUUAUUUUAGUGUAAUUGUAAAUUUGUUCAAUAUAUCAAGUCUAAUAAAAGAUAUAAAUAAAACAACUCUUGUACUACAUUUGUAAAAACAUUUUUAUUGACAAUAGUGAAUUUAGCCGAAUAUUAGAGAUGCAAGUUUGUAAUAGCAUUAUAACAUUGUACCUCUGUUGCGAUAUCAAGUGGUUUUAAAAGUUGUUUUCUGGUUCAGAUUGUUGAAAUAUUCCAAAUGUAUCAAAUCCAAAUGUAAACCUUGAAAUUACAUUAAAUCGGAAUACUCGUAAGGUAUAUAGAUGUUAAAGGAGAGGGGGCGGUAUUGACAUAUUUCUAUCAUAAAAAAGAACAAAACGUACAUUUCUAUGUUUUAUUCCUUGAUAAGUUCGAAAGAGCAAAAAUCCAUAAAAUAUUGAUAAAAUAUGAUUGACAACCUAUAAAAGAAGAUUGAUGAAAUAUUUUGCUUUAUAUCUAUUUAAGGUAUUAAUCUUUCUCAGUGAAGUCAAACUUGUAAGUGGUUUCCUGGCAAUAAACGAACUUUUGUAGCAUAGCUGCCUAAGCAAGAAUGUCGUAUUGCUAUUUAUUUUCAUUACAAAUAUUUUCCAGUUUGUUUUCAAUCCCACCCGAAAUAAACGUAAAAUAAAAAAUAAAUCCAAAUGUUUAAAAUACGUUAUUUCACGCUUCGUACCAAAGGGUACAGGAUACCGCUAGGUACCCUAUUUCAUACAGCUUUACAGCUCUCUGCCGCUUACUCUAUCAGUUACCCGAACACACAAAGAGGAGGCUUUAUUCAUACAAACUGUACUUAGCUCUGUCUCAUGAAAUAUCUAUAAGAUAUUGUGCAAUACCGAUGAGUCAUAUUUACGUAAGCACGUUCAUAACAUUGACGUAGACACAACCCUACACACGUAAGUGAGAGUAACCUAAUAGCAUAAGCAAGAACAAGUUUAUUAGGCAAUUAAGAAAUACUCUGAUCAUGACGUAAAUUCAUUGAUAACUAUCACGGUAACCACUUGAUACACUGCAAUCCAUAUUUUCGAAUAGAUUUCGUAAUCCGAUUAACGUCACAUUGACGCACAUCUUACGUAACUUGUGAAUAUAAAUCAACUGCGUUGGAGCAUGAAAACUAUAUAUAAUAAUAAACACUGUUUACGUCAAUGACCUGGAAUUAAUCCAACGCUUUUACGAAAGAAACAUUUCUAAAAUGUAAUUAGCCUGGUAUAAUGCCAAGGUGAUUUGGUAUAAUGCCAGCUCUCUUAUGAAACGUGCAUAAUCUAAAAGUAAAACAGCCUGCCUAAGAAUAAAACAAUCUAGAAAAUAAGAUUAUAUGCAGUCGCUUAAUGGUACGAAAAUAAUAACUAACUAGACUGUGUUACAAUUUUGUAAUCAUGGUAAAACAUAUUCUAUAUCGUACGUAGGAAUUAUUGUGCCUUGCAUAGGAGUGAUUUUGCCGUACGUAGGAGUAAGUAAGUACUAUGUAGCAUUAUUUUUAUCGAACGUAAGAGUAAGUAUAUACUAUGUAGGAUUUACUAUGUCGUGCAUAGGAGUAAGUAUGUUCAAUGUUACACGCAGGAGUUUUGCGUAGGAUUUAUUGUACCUUACACAGGAGUGAGUGAGUCCUAUCUGGGAGUUAUUAUGUCUUACCUCGGAGUUAGUACGUUCUACGUAUGAGUUUUAAGACGUAGGUUCUUGUAGGAGUUAGCUAUAAUAUGUUAAUACAUGUAUGUACGCUUAAUUUAAUACAAAUAUUUCCAUAUUUCUAGUUAUUUGUCACGACACUUGCUUUGAGAAUGGAGGGAAAUGUGUCGGGCCUGGUAGAUGUUCUUGUCCUGCAGAACGUUUUGGUUUAAACUGUGAACAAAAAGGUUGCAUACUGACAAAACAUACUGCAAAAUACGGAGACCAAAAAAUUGUUAGCCCUGGAACGACGUUAAACAACUUUGCAUGUGACCGUGGUUAUGUUCUUUCAUCGCAAAAGGGAAUGACGUGUCUGGAUGGCGGAACAUGGUCUGAAAUUGUUACAUGCAUUAAAGCCGUCGUAUACCUGAUAAGUGUGAAAACUGUUGCUGCAUGGAAAAAUAUUGGCGAAGGGACAGAUGCUAAGGUGUAUAUUACUCUGCAGGGAUUGAGUGGGAAAACAGAGAAAAUAUAUCUUGCAGGAUCGUUUGAAGCUGGUAAUCUGGACGAGACAAGACUGAAAGCUAAAGAUGUCCGACCGAUUACCAGUGUUGUGAUAGGGCAUGACGGUAGUGGCAGGUUCCUGAUUGGUACCUUGAAUACGUUUCAAUAUAUGUAGAGAAUAUGGAGGAAUAUUACGUCUUUAGGCAUAAUGACUGGGUGGAGGCGGAAAGAGAUGUUCUUUUGCCUAGACAAGGAAUUGAUCAAACAACGUGCAUCGAUACAUUUGAUAGUGGUCAUACGUUGUGGCCAAGAUGGAGUUCAAUAAGAAGAGAAGACAGGUAUGAUAUUAGCAGUCGUCGAAGAAUGUCACUGAGAGGAUGUAAACAAGCGUGCAUCAACCUACAGGUAAUGCAGUGUAAAGCAGUGAUGUAUAGCACAGAUGAUAAAAGUUGCUGGGGCUUUGCUGUAUCCGAUACACGCUAUUUUGAGGAAAAGCAUGGAACAUGGAAUUUACCACUGUAUUUACGAACAUGCAAACGAUCUGAUUAAAAAAUAAACAGUGAUAGCAAAGUGAGCAGAUUGUUUAUGAAAUUAGUUUUGAUUAUGAAUGUAUCAUUUUGUUUUAUACUAAUUGCAGAGCUAACUCAGCUUAUAAACUUUUGCUACUUAAAAAUAUAAUAAAUAAAUUUGUAAAAAAAUGACCAAUAGCCAUACAGUAAAUAUGUAAUCUUAAAGCAAAAAUGUUUGUGUUGCAGCAUUACGCGUUAAGUGUAAUAAAUAUAUAAGUGAACACAGAAUGAAUAUAUAAUGUUAAUAAAAUCAGAAGUCAUUUUUCGAGGGUAUCUGUUUUGGCUCGGUCAGACUUGUGUGAAACUUUAUGGCUUUAAAUAUAAAAGCAUUUGAUAUCUAGCCAAAUUGAAUACUUUUCUUGAGAUUUCCUAGACUUAAAUCAAUAUGCAAUGAUAAAAUAUUUAAGCUGCAAAGCAUAGUUCUGACUAUUGACUAGAAGCAAUUCAGUAAAACAAAUCUUUACAUGA